UUGAUUAUUGUGUAGUUCUCAGACUGCAAGACAGCGGGUUUGACCCCGGGGCAAGCCCGGGGCGGUCCUCCGGCGGCCAGGGCCGCCGAGGCAACGGGUGGGUAGUCAAGGGUUGGAGGUUGGGCCCUGAGACCCUCGCUCGGUAAUGAUCCUUCCGCAGGUUCACCUACGGAAA
rnacentral:misc_RNA from 1 species